rnacentral:rRNA from 1 species
CUGACAUUAGAUACCCGCGUAGUCCAGGGUGUAAACGCUGCAGACUUGGUGUUGGGGGCCCUUUGGGGGCAUUCAGUGCCGGAGAGAAGUUGUUAAGUCUGCUACUUGGGGAGUACGUCCGCAAGGAUGAAACUUAAAGGAAUUGGCGGGGGAGCACCGCAACGGGAGGAGCGUGCGGUUUAAUUGGAUUCAACACCGUAAACUCACCAGGGAAGACUGUUACAUGAAGGCCGAGAUGAAGACUCUGCUAGAUUUUCAG